ensembl:lncRNA
CUCGGGUCGGGGCCGCUCGGGCCGGGGCCGGGGCUGAGGACGGAGCCAUGAGCGCUCUGAGCGGUCGGGACGGGUGGAGGUGGCAGGGUACCGGGAUGUCCCCGGCACCCCCCGAGCCAGAGGUGUCCUCCCCUGCGGACGUGCUUUCCCGCUGUCUGUUCCUCCCCAGCAGACAGAUCUCCUCCGGGAUCGGGAUGUCCAUUCAUCCCGCUGCUCAGAUGCUUUCUACGUCCAGCUCCCCACCUCCUGUCCCUCCCCCGGGCGGGGAUGCUCUCCAGCACUGGGAUGUCCCCACACCAUCAACCCCGGGACAGGGAUGUCCUCCAGCUCUGGGAUGCUCUUGCAUCAUCAUCCCCUGUACCCAUUGCUCCCCAAAACAGGGACAUCCUCUGCUACUAGGACAUCACCAUUAUCACCCGGUACGGGGACAUCCUCCCAGUACCAGGAUGCCCCCAUGGCUCCCAGGAUGUGGACGUCCCCUCCAGUACUGGGAUACCUGGUUCAGGGCAGGAGCCCCAGCACAGGACUGGUGUCCGAGGGGUGGUGGAGCCCAGCUGGCCCCCAAGGAUGGUCCCACUGGUGUGGCACGUGGGAGCAAGUGUCCACUAGCUCCCUUUGUGAUGCCCUCAUGUGGCUCCAUGACAGGCACUGAGCUGCUGGGGGACGCUGGGGACGUGGGGCAGGUGGGGGCACGCUGAAAGCAAGCAGUGCAGCAGGCCCUAUGGGAGCCAUGAGAAGGAAUCACGCGUGGGACAUCCGGGCACGGUGAUGGUGGUUGGGAUACCCGCUGGACAGCUGGGCAUGGUGAUGGUUCUUGGGACACCUGCGGACAACUGGGCAUGGUGAUGAUAGUUGGGACACCCAUAGGACAGGCAGGCAUGGUAAGGUUGGUUGGGACAACCCGUGGGACCCGUGGGCACAGUGAUGAUGAUGGGAAGGAAGCAGUGGGCAAUUUGUAGAAAGACACCCUGGAUCUGGGAGCAGCGAAGCACGUCUGGAGCACCUCUGGGCUGGGGCUCCUUCAGCAAGGGCAGGAGCCACCUGCUGGGGUUCAGUCGUCACUCACAGCCCUGCUCUUUCUCCCUGCAGAUCUGGACAUGGCCAGGGAGGCCAAGCCGAGCCGGGUCAGGUUGGGCCAAAAGAGGCCGCACAGCAGCAGCCUGUACCCGUGAGUGCCAGUGCAUGGGCUCCUUGUGCAUCUAUGGGUCCCCAUGAGCAGCUCCUGGGGGGUCCCGACUGAGCCCCAAACCCACCUCACUGAAGGGUUUGGAGGCUUUGUCUGUGAUUCCAUGAUUCUUCUACCCGUAAGAAGAGCUCCAUGGUUUUUACGAUGAGUACCUGCGACCUGGACUACAACCUCUACAGGGAUGACUUCCCAUACCGGGUGUAUGAGUACCAGAAGAUCCCACCCCUCAUUAACCGCAUCCCCGUCAAGGCCAGGAGAACGCACGCAAGAGCGGGAGGCACGAGCAGCCCCAGCCCCCAGCACGGGGCGCGGAGCAGCGCCAGCUCCACGGGGACGCGGAUGAAACUGAGAGCCGAGGAGCUGCACUCCAUCAAGGGGGAGCUGAGCCAGAUCAAGGAGAGGGUGGACAACCUGCUGGAGAGCCUGGAGCGCAUGGACCAGCGCAGGGAGCGGCUCUCGGGGUGCAAGGAGAGCGAGAAGAAGAAGGCGGAGGUGGGCUCAGCAUCACCGGCCCCGCCGGGAGAGGGCUCACGAGGCAAGGAGGGGAGCGGAGGGGACGGGCGCAACAUCGACAGCGCCGACGAGAGCACAGACACGGAGGAGACGAUGAAGGCCCACACCUCGGAUCCCGAGGGGAGCCAGUAGUGGGGAUGCCGGAGCCCCGCAGCUCCUGCCCCAUCUCCGCGUCCGCUUGGAGGCUCCCGGCAGGUGCCAGGCCGGUGCCCAGUGCCCCUCCCUGCACUCACGUCCCCACCACCAGUGCCAGCAGCCCCGUGCCCCGCGUUGGCCAGCCGUGGUGAGAGAAGUCUUUGUGUUUGAGUGCGCGUUCUUCUUUUUAUUCCUCCUGUUUUGCAGUGUAAGUAAGUUGGGGGUCGGGGGGGUAGGAGGGCAGAAGCUCCGCACCCCGAAGGAUCGUUAGCCCAGAGCUGAGGUCCGCCGUGUCCCCGCUCCUCACCUCCCCACUGGGUAAAGCAUCCCCUGGGCAAAGCAUCACACCCAGCCCCUCCAUCCCACGAGCACAGCGCGGGCCGGAUGCGCUCCCCGUGCAGGACGAAGCCACAGCGCUGUCCCUGCUGGGCAGUGGUGAGCACACGGGUGGCCACAGGUGAUACCGCCAGCACAGGGCGCCCAGUGGUGCGGUAUGGAGCCCAGCAUCCCCUCACCAGUGGGCUUCUCUUAACGGUGUCCCGAGGGCUCCGUUCUUUGCCAUCCCUCCAUCCCUCUCCCUCCGUGUCUGUGUCCCCCGUUUCGGGGUCGUCCUCCUCGUGCUGGUAGGAAGUUGUCCUGUAUUUCUCAUUUGCUCCGGCGAAAGAGUGAAUUGUGCUGGAAAGGACAAAAACAAUCCAUCAUUUGUAUUGCUUUUCUCUGGUUAUUCGGCCUCAGGUGUACCCCCAGUGCUGAUGUGCGAAUGGGGGCGCGGCGGGGUCAGCCCCCACCCAGCUCUGUGGGGAUCUCAGCAGCCCCAAGCAGGCAGAACUCACCAGGAAAAAAAAAAAAAACCCAACCAAUUUUAUUGUACAAACCCAAAACAACACAACACAAGAGGUCCUUCUGCCACCCUGGAGCACCGCAGGCAGCAGUCACUGAGCCACGAGGUGCCGGGAUGUGGCGGUGGGGGGGAUGUGGCGGCGUCUCCAGCAGCACCAGGCCUGCUUUGGGGUCUCUGCUGGCACAGGGGGUGGUUUGAGGACCCCGAGGGUCCCUGCUGGCGCCAGGGGCAGCUCUGGGGGUCUCUGGUGGCAUCGGAAGCAGCGCAGGGGGCUCUGUGGCGGUCUCGGGUAAGCCGUGGGGGUCCCCGAUGGCGCCGGGGGCAGCUCGGUGGGUCUCGGUGGCAGUCCUGGGGGGCUCCGAUGGUGUGAGGGGUGGCUCAGGUAAGGCCUGGGGGUCGCCGGCACCGCCAAGGGCAGCUCCAGAGGUCGCCGACGGCACGAGGGGGUGGCUCCGUGGGGUCAGUGACGGCACCCGGGCGGCUCCGGGGGCUCCCGGUGGCCCCAAGGGCGGCUCGCGGGGUCCCUGCUGGCAGUCCUGGGGGUCCCAGCAGCGUGAGGGCAGCUCAGAUAAACCCACCGGGCUCAGAGGCAGCGCCGCGGGCUGCUCCAGCGCUCUGCGGCGGCACCCGGGCUGGCUCCGCAGGGACUCCGGCGGCACCCCGGGGCCC